GAUGAACGCUGGCGGCGUGCUUAACACAUGCAAGUCGAGCGAGAAGUUUUGAAAAGAUUCUUCGGAUGAAAUUUAAAAUGGAAAGCGGCGGACGGGUGAGUAACGCGUAGGCAACCUGCCCCAUACAAAGGGAUAGCAUUUGGAAACGAAUAUUAAUACCUUAUGAAACUUAACUAGUGCAUGCUAGGUAGGUCAAAGAUUUAUCGGUAUGGGAUGGGCCUGCGUCUGAUUAGCUAGUUGGUGAGGUAACGGCUCACCAAGGCGACGAUCAGUAGCCGACCUGAGAGAGUGAACGGCCACAUAAGAACUGAGACACGGUCCAAACGCCUACGGGAGGCAGCAGUGGGGAAUAUUGCACAAUGGGGGAAACCCUGAUGCAGCAACGCCGCGUGAACGAUGAAGGCCUUUGGGUCGUAAAGUUCUGUUCUAGGUGAUGAAAACUGACAGUAACCUAGGAGAAAGCCCCGGCUAACUCCGUG
rnacentral:rRNA from 1 species